UACGUACUCCCUUCGUCGAACAAAAGAUAUUUCAAAUUUGUCAAAAUUUGGAUGUAUUUAGACAUGACUUAGUGUAUAGAUGCAUUCAAAUUUAGUCAAAGUUGAGACAUAUUUUGUUGGACGGAGAAAUACUGU
rnacentral:pre_miRNA from 1 species